AUUGAACGCUGGCGGCAUGCCUUACACAUGCAAGUCGAACGGCUGCACGGGAGCAAUCCUGGUGGCGAGUGGCGAACGGGUGAGUAAAGUAUCGGAACGUGCCCAGUCGUGGGGGAUAACGUAGCGAAAGUUACGCUAAUACCGCAUACGAUCUAUGGAUGAAAGCGGGGGAUCGCAAGACCUCGCGCGAUUGGAUCGGCCGAUAUCAGAUUAGGUAGUUGGUGGGGUAAAGGCUCACCAAGCCGACGAUCUGUAGCUGGUCUGAGAGGACGACCAGCCACACUGGGACUGAGACACGGCCCAGACUCCUACGGGAGGCAGCAGUGGGGAAUUUUGGACAAUGGGCGAAAGCCUGAUCCAGCCAUGCCGCGUGCAGGAUGAAGGCCUUCGGGUUGUAAACUGCUUUUGUACGGAACGAAAAGGUUUGGCCUAAUAAGCUGAGCUCAUGACGGUACCGUAAGAAUAAGCACCGGCUAACUACGUGCCAGCCGCCGCAGUAA
rnacentral:rRNA from 1 species